AUUUUGUCUUAAGCAAGAUCCACAAAUGAAAGGUUCAGGCCAUUAACAAGUAAUCUGUUUGGGUUAUUUGAAGACUGAGUAUUGAACAACUGAUUGAUUAGAAAGAACAUUCCAACCCCUUGGAAACUGUAAGUCAAGCUCUUAUAUGAAUGCUGGCUGCCCCUGGACCAUCCCAGUCUGAACCUUGAAUGGGAAUCUGUGACCCGAUUUCUGGCUUUUUGAGGUAGGUAGUCUGGAUUAGAUGUCCAAUAU
rnacentral:lncRNA from 1 species